GCGUUGGUGGUUUAGUGGUAAAAUCCAUCGUUGCCAUCCGAGUUUCGAUGGGCCCCGGGUUCGAUUCCCGGCCGACGCA